rnacentral:lncRNA from 1 species
ACCAUUAUGCACAAUUUUUAACUAAAAGGGGGACCAAAAUGAACAAUUUUAAACAAAAGUAAGGACCAAAAAUCACAACUUAAAACGAAACUGAGGACUAUUACGAAUUUCAUUCAACUAACCCAGAUGGUUCAAGUUAUAUUACAAUACCAGCUCAUAAUACACAAACACCACAUUGAUUCAAGAUUGCCCACGUAACAUCAACCUAAGGGCACUCAAAACAUUACAACAUGAACUCAAAAUACAUGAACACAACAUAAAUUAGACAUUGGUCACCUAACAUCAACCUAAAAACAGCCCCAAUAUGAUGAUGUUAAGCACAAUAACAACAACCCCAAC